UAUUCUUGGUUUCUGGAUCCCUGGGUUACACUAAGAACAUCGGUCUGGUGUUUCAACCACAGUCUAACCAAUUUUUCAUAAUAAGUGCUUCAAUGGGCAGCUUUAUAGCCUGGAUUGUGAUCAGCAGAGGCCCUCCUCCUUUGAGGAACCCCACAUACAACUAACUGAAGGCUUCUCGGGAGGCAGGAGGAAUGAUCUUGUGCUGCAGGUGUGGAAACGACUGCUCAGAUGUCCUCACACAGUGAAGAUCUGAUGUGAAUAGGUGAUGAGACUGGCUGCAUUGCCCUCACAUGCCUUCCCAGCAUGGUGGGAGAAGAGCAGGACCCAGGCAGGAGCGUGUUGCUGCUGGGAGUUCCCACAGACACCAGUGCCAGCUGGGGAAGCUCAUGUGCCCCUGUCCCCCAGCGCCACUCCUAAAGGUGCACCAGGACAGCUGUUUGCAGGGCGACUGGAGAAACCAAGCACAGAACCAGGAAGAAUCCCUCCUUUUUAAGUAAUGGAACUUCAGUAGACCUGCAGUGGCUGGCUGGUUUGACUACACUUACCCUGAAGUGGUACCAUAAGGGGCACUCAGCUGAAAGCAGAGAGGUAAUCAGAAUAUCCCCAGAUGGAGAGGCUUCAACUGCUUUGUGCCAUGCCCCGCUCUCUCUGCUGCAAUUGAUUUGAUUUGGGUACUCGGUAUCCCGUUCGGCCAUCUAGGUAGGUGAAAUAGGGAAUGUCGGGGUAGUAUCCGGAUAUCCAUCGGGCUUCACGUGAUGGAUGUUGCCAAGGAAACUGCUCCCUUGGCAGCCAUGCAGCGAGCACGUCCGCCUCUUCAGCUCCCCGACACAGCCCUGCUAGUCUGUCAGCUGGAGGGAGGAAAGCAAACAGCUGUGGAGAGAGCAGGGAGAAAUAAUUAAAGUGUUUAAAUCCUUGGCGUUUAAAAGUUGAGAUGUUCUUCAGGGUGCCCACCAAGGGAUGGCAGGAGUGUGCUGGGAUGGGGGCUCUUGGUAGCAUGCCCCAGGCCUUGGAUGGAGUUACACUGAUGUUUUCCUCUGCAGGCACAGGUUUAAACUACAUCUGUGUGGUACAGCCUCCAAGCGAGGUGGAAAGCACAAGGCUGUGUCAAGGCCUUCUCUUUUGGACGGCAUUGACCCUACACCAAACACGAGCAGAGUUCCAAGUCGCAGGUGUUCUUAAAAAUGUGUCAUAGUGGGUGGCACGACCUGCUUGUCCGUAACGUUUUGGGAAAGGAAUGUUAGUCCUUCUCCGUUUGCAAUUAUAACCAGUCUCUUGCCAGGAAUAUGUUUGACAGCUCUCAGAAAGAACUGAUCCCCAGGGCUGCCAGCCAUACUUAGUCUUGGUUCUCAUCUAGAAUCUGUGAUGUUGAGGGACAUCUUUUCCUCUGGUGGUUUCAAAUGCCUACUGGGAGUCCCUCACUUGAGGUAAAGUAUUGCAAGGGAUGUGAAUCUGAAAGUAAUAGUCUUCUCUAAGCAUCAUAUAAACCUGAGAGGAUUUUAGAGCUGAGAUCUGUUACUUGGUUAAAUACUGAAGUAGAAAUGCCCAUUAAGACUAUAAAGGAAUUCCUCACUUGUGAGCACAUUUCUUCCUCUUCCUAACGGCUGAUUCGAGGCCAAGGAGCAGGCAGUCCUUAGUUCUCUAGCAUCAAAGGAGCCAUUCAUAUUUCAUAUUUUGUAGUGUUGGCUCAGAUGAUUCAUAUCUUAGCUUUUAUAUAUAUAUAUAUAUAUAUAUAUUGUAUAGAACACUAAAUGCCUUUUUGUUGCAAAUUUUCUAGAAAACUGGUCAUAAACCGUAGGAAAGCUCAUGUGUCAGACCCAAAGCUUUAUUUUUGACCUGAUUAUCUCACCAAACUCCUUCUGAGUGGUAGAUUUCCUGUGGUCACCUACCAAGCCACUUUGUUCUAAAAAUCUUCCCAAAAGUGGUAAAAGUGGGUGGUGAUUUAGCAUUACAAAGAUUUUUCGGUUAGCAAUUCUGAAGCCAAUAUGGCCAUUGCUUUCUGGUUUUCCACGGGCUGUUCCUCUGCUUCAUGUACUUGCUGUUAUUCACUUACACAUAUUGCAAAUAAAAGAUGGGAAAAGGAUGUAUGUGUCUGUGCUGUACUGGGGUUACCCAAGCUAAGAACCUGAAGAAUAUUAACUUCAUUAUUUUGGUUGAUUUCUAGUUUGGGUAGUUAUGCUGUACUCAUAAAACUCCCUUGGCAAUUCCAAAUGAUUCAUCUUUCUCUCAGUUCUUAAUAACUUCUGCAUGCCAUUGUUGUGUAUAGUAAACUGUAGCUAUCUUUCUCCCGUGAGGGGCUGAAAAUGAUUCCUUUAAGCUGUGUACUUAGCAAAUCCAUUUGUAAAGUGCAUUUGAAGAGCUUGUGAAUGUAUUGGGGGGUACCAUAUAAAGAGAAGAUUAUUCAUUCGGGGAGAAUUUAGUUACACUUUUUCUAUGUAGUAUAAAUUCCCUUCCUUGGAAAUAACUCAUGAAGUUUCCUGUCAUAGGAAAAAAUAAAUUUGGUUUGGUGUCUGUUAUUUUCAU